UUGGCCCAAGGCUAUAGUAGAAGACAGUUGCCCAAGGUGCCAUGCAGUGGGACUGAACCCGGAACCAUGUGGUUGGUUAGCAAGCUACUUACCACACAGCCAUUUAAAUUUAUUUUACUAUUCAAGAGAUUUCAAAUGUUAUCCCUGCCCUCCCCUACUUUCAAAUUCUGUGAAUUACUUUCUAUAUUCUGUUCAGAUUUAAUCAGUAGGGUCUUGGUAUUUUUUUCGCUAAGGUUAAAUUUGAGGAAGGAAUCACUUGAAGUUAUGUAGUCUUGGGUCAGUCCUGAUUGAGCAAUUCCUUAGCAUGUAGGUUAUGGACCAAAUGACAAGAAGGUGCUAGAGUGUGUUAACUUACUGUGUAUUAUCUCAAAAGAUUUCUGGACAUUACUGUCUUGAGUCCUAGGGCCCACGGGACCAAUUCCCCAGUUCUCAUGGCAUAUAAAUGAAAUCACAACAUUCCCCCUGGAUGGGAUGCCAGUCCAUUGCAGGGUUGCUCAUUUACAGCCGAGUGGACUGGGGCAACGUAAAAUGAAGUGUUUUUGCUCAAGAACACAAUGUACCACCCAGUCCGGAAAUUGAAACUACAAUUUUGUGAUUGCUAGUGCAACACACUAACCGCAAGACUACAUGUCUUCACAUGAAAGAUCUGUAGGCAAAUGUAACUAAUCAUUAAUUAAUCUUGUGUUCUGGAGAUAUUCUUUUGUAGAUUUAUAUUGCUUAAUAUAUAAAAGUAAGCUAAGUAUUGUUUGGAUGAAGUAGGGGCUUUUUGUUAUGUUUUUGUGUACAGUACAUAAGCAGUUUUGGGUUGCCUUCUGAUUUGAUGGCAUUCUUUCAUUUGUGGAGUAAAACCUUUUCUGUCUGUUUCAAUUCCAUGUGAAGAAUAAAUGCCAGAGUUGUUUAUCUUUCAUCUGCUUGAUACUACAGAGAUGGAAGUCUAACACUUGCCUUAUGAACCCUUGUGGUGUGGUAAAGAAUUCAGUUUGUAAACUGGGGAUGGGAUUAAUUCUGGCAUUAAUACAAAAAAGAAACCCCCUCGCAAAAAAAAAAAAAAAAAACUAAUUCACACUUACUUAUUUAUCAGCCACUCAUCUUUGCCAUCUUAA